rnacentral:misc_RNA from 1 species
AAGUCGUAACAAGGUUUCCGUAGGUGAACCUGCGGAAGGAUCAUUAACAAUAUUAUCCUAAUAUAUUGGAUUCUACCCUUAUGUGAUAAAUAUUGGCUUAAUUAUUGGGGUUUAAAAAUGAUUCUGUAAUGGAAUCGACCCUAAAUAUACAAUAAACUCGCUUUUAAACUAUGACUGACAUAUAAUUUUUAUAAUUAUCUAAAUGAUAAUCAAUUAAAAACUUUCAACAACGGAUCUCUUGGUUCUC